CCAAAAGGGAGCAGUCUGUCUCAAAACAUACCUGCGCAUAUUCUGCCAGCUUCAUUCCUUCCAGCAGCGCAGCGAGCUCGGCGUGACUGCUUGAAAGGGCGAGGUAAGCAGAGCACCUGGUCUAGCAGCGCCGGCUUUGACUGCUACACUAGGCUAUUACAGGCCGGUUCUUCCAAAUGCCCCUAGCAGCAUAAGCAUCUUAGUCACCUGUUCCUUACUCAAAUUAAAUGGGAGACCGCCUCCAUCAACCAGUGUUGGAAAUUAUUGAAAACUCCCCCAUCCCACUGAAAAUCCUCUCUAUGCCAUACCUCCUGCGCAUAUGAGCAGUCCACGAACACAUGCAGGCUAUUUUCCAAUGCAUGAUCACACCUUAACCAAACUUUCAGGUUCUUCCCAUAUCGAAAUUUAAAAAAAAAAAUGUGAAGAAAGGUCUCGAGUGACUUUGCCUUGACCCCAGAAAUUUUCGGAGCCGGCCAUGUCCGUUGUUACUGUUGAAAACGACCUAAGCUCGAGUAGUUGAGUGGGCAAUUCCCUUGGCACAACUCUGUUGUUUCAGUUCACACACAAUAUUCGGUGCCAAAACGAUGGGGAUUACUCAGAACUGACCGCGAGUGUUUCUUCUAUCAUGACUUGUUUAAUCAAGAUGAUAAAUAGCUUCUCAUGAUGUAUGACUUGAUGUUGACGGUAGCUGACUUGAGUUGAGUAGGCUAGGGUUUGUCAUGCUUGCUGGGAUUGGAAAGAGACUGGGAAAUCUUUCAAAAACAAAACCUUCGCAAUCAAUGUUUUAUUCUGAACCAUCAGAAUCACAGGGGUUAAUAGAUGAGACCAUUGCCGGGUUAAAGCAACAUAAACAAACGAAUGAGACAAUAGCGUGAGAUUGUCACAAACUUCUAAAUCACAUUGCAUCAAUCCAAAGAGAUUACGAGAGUCAGAUUCCGGUCGGGUGCUAAUAUCACAUCACACUACUCUACAUGACACAACAACAGCAGUAGUGCAACAAGAGCCUAUCUAAGCGGCUAAAUUAAAUGAUACAUCAAAGUGGGGAGCAACCCCAGAUGAAGCUAGACGACUAGUAGUCAACAAGUUUACAGACAGCAAACAAGGUGAAGUGAGAUCCAACAGUUGGGGACUGGGAGAAGAAUUGCCGUUGUGGUCAGUGAGAAACCUCAUGUUGCAACAAAUAAGCAUAGACUCUUCACAUUACACCUCCAGGCAAUGAUACAUUAAUGUCAGUCUUAUUUUUAUGAUCGGAUUGAUACGAAGACCAAUUAUCACCACGGAAGGAA